AUUGAACGCUGGCGGCAUGCUUUACACAUGCAAGUCGAACGGUAACAGGCCGCAAGGUGCUGACGAGUGGCGAACGGGUGAGUAAUGCAUCGGAACAUGCCCAGUCGUGGGGGAUAACGCAGCGAAAGCUGCGCUAAUACCGCAUACGAUCUAUGGAUGAAAGCGGGGGACCGUAAGGCCUCGCGCGAUUGGAGCGGCCGAUGUCAGAUUAGGUAGGUGGUGGGGUAAAGGCUCACCAAGCCAACGAUCUGUAGCUGGUCUGAGAGGACGACCAGCCACACUGGGACUGAGACACGGCCCAGACUCCUACGGGAGGCAGCAGUGGGGAAUUUUGGACAAUGGGCGCAAGCCUGAUCCAGCAAUGCCGCGUGCAGGAAGAAGGCCUUCGGGUUGUAAACUGCUUUUGUACGGAACGAAACGGUCCUGGUUAAUACCCGGGGCUGAUGACGGUACCGUAAGAAUAAGCACCGGCUAACUACGUGCCAGCAGCCGCCGUAAGAC
rnacentral:rRNA from 1 species